AAACGCCCAUUUUGUUCUGCAGAGUCAUUGUACUCGGAUCAAAACAUUGUAGAGAAAAGGGUCUGGGAUGUUUUGACUCAAAAUGGCAAGUAGCCUUUUAAUAUCUAUAGUAUCUAUCAAUAUCAAUAUUUUAGUAUCUAUAGCCACUCUCUGGCAACCAUAAAGCAAUACGGCAGUAACAGCGAAUUCAGCUAAUAUGCACGAUUUCUUUAUGGAAAAAGUAAAUUUUUACUUAUGAAAUCUCAUUUUACUGAUCUACUGUCGUGAUCUAAUUAAAUUUAGGGAAGAUUUUAGUUGUACAACAAAAUCAGAACAUUAAGUACCCUGAUACCAGGAUACUCUCUGGAUUUUUUUUGCUAAUGUCAGAUUAUAAAUGCUGUAGGCCUAUAUAUUGACUUGCACAAUCAUCAUUUUGCAUUUUAUGUAAAUUACUUUAAACCAGAGAAAAAUAAAUAGUCUUUAUACAUUGUAGAGAGAAAUGAAAGAUAUCACUGAAAAUGAAAAACAAGGAGAAGAGAUAGAGAACAGACUGGAAGAGUCACAAACAAGUGAAUCAAGAGAGUCACUGAAACGUAGACACAGCAGCAUGGAGAAUUUAAAACCAGAUCUCUCUCAUGAUCCAGUCAAACCUGCAGGGUCUCGUUCUCAUGUAUCAGAGACGCUUCAAGCUGUGAAAACACUACGCAUUAAUUUUUAUCGCUGAUAUCUUCAACCAGAGGCUUCACAUCUCCGAGAACCUAAAAAAAUGGAAGAAUGGAAAUCUUCAAGCAGCUCAGACGAAACGGAGUUUCUUGCCAGAAUGGGUAAUAGUUGAAUUGACCUCUGUUUUCAUGUACGUGAGUGCUUUGAAAGACCCAUCCUGCAUCGCAGAAAAUCAUGACUGAACCAUGCAAGACCCUCUGCAGUUUGCUUUCCGAGCUAAUGUUUCAGAGCAAUGCUUUUAUCUGCAUCACCUGCACUACUGUUGGAUCAAUGACGUGAACAUGCGUUCCAUCAACGGCUCCAACAAUUCCAGGAAAGCCCACAAUCCUCAUAAAAGUGGCUUGUUUUUGCAGCAUGGGUUGACGGUCAGUUGGAAGGUCAAUGAACUGCCAAAUAGUAGUGGCCAAAAUGGAUGUCCGGCCUAGGAAAUUUGACAUCUUCACCCUUAUUU